UACAGAGGUCCCAAGCGUUGUUCGGAUUCACUGGGCGUAAAGGGUGCGUAGGCGGUCGGGUAAGUCUGAUGUGAAAUCUCACAGCUUAACUGUGAAACUGCAUUGGAUACUAUCUGGCUAGAGGAAUGGAGGGGAGACUGGAAUACUUGGUGUAGCAGUGAAAUGCGUAGAUAUCAAGUGGAACACCAGUGGCGAAGGCGGCUUCCUGGUCCGACACCGACGUUCAGGCACGAAAGCGUGGGGAGCAAACAGG
rnacentral:rRNA from 1 species